rnacentral:lncRNA from 1 species
GGAGGGUUAUCAAUACACCCAUAUUCUAAUUCUUUUAUCGAAACCGAUCCAUCACAGUAUCGUCUUUUAUAUUAGAAUAUAAAAUUUUAAUAUGAACUUGAACUUUGUACUAAACCAAUAGACACAUAGGUCAUAUAGAAUAUAAAAUAUUCUUACACUCCAUAGACUGAGCAGGCAGUGCUCGCAUGCCUUGGAGUUGUCCAGAGGCCUGAUGUCAGUUUGCUCAACCGGGCUGGAUGAUGAAAACUUCAACGACUUUAAGUGGCGGAGAGGGAAUAUACAUCGUGACUGGAGAAAGUGAGGCAGAGGAAUGUAGAGCCUAGAUUGGGUGUGAAGUCGGAUUUGAAGUUAAGGCCGCCAGAUCUGCAAUAGGAGCUUAAGAGGAAGGUUUAUGGCUACUACUUGCAGGAACCAAUAGAGGAACAAUGGGAGUGGAAUCUUUUGAAUGAAUACCAUCAAUUGUAAAACGUGAAUCGAAGAUGAAGGCUUGAAGAAGUCCACGCCUAGUUUUUUUCCUUCUCUUAACCUUGUCCAUCGAGAAAAAAAGAUAAGCAAGUAGAGAAGAGAGAAGGAAGAGUUCUCAUCUGAUGAAAAAGAAAGGAAGAACCCUGAUCGCUUUCAGCUACGAGAAAGAGGAAAGAGAAAGCUGGUAAAGAAGUGGAUUUUAUCAACAAGGAGAUCAUUUAGUCACUCAGGCUUACCAUACAUGUAAUUAUUUUCACCACG